rnacentral:rRNA from 1 species
AAUGGACGAAAGUCUGAUGCAGCGACACCGCGUGAAGGAUGAAGGCCCUAGGGUUGUAAACUUCUUUUAUUAGGGAAUAGCAAGGAAGGUAUCUAAUGAAUAGGCAACGGCUAACUACGUGCCAGCAGCCGCGGUAAUACGUAGGUUGCAAACGUUGUCCGGAAUCACUGGGCGUAAAGGGUCCGUAGGCGGUUUGAUAAGUCUCAUAUGAAAGCUUCAAGCUCAACUUGGAGAUGUUGUGAGAUACUGUCAGACUAGAGACUGUUAGAGGUAAGUGGAAUUCCAGGUGUAGUGGUGAAAUGCGUAGAUAUCUGGAGGAACACCAGUGGCGAAAGCGACUUACUGGGACAGUUCUGACGCUAAGGGACGAAAGCGUGGGGAGCGAACCGGAUU